rnacentral:misc_RNA from 1 species
GGAAGUAAAAGACGUAACAAGGUUUCCGUAGGUGAACCUGCGGAAGGAUCAUUAUUGUAUAACCGAGGUGCGAGGGCUGUCGCUGACCCGAAAGGUCGUGCACGCCCGAGUGCCCUCACACACAUCCAUCUCACCCCUAUGUGCACCACCGCGUGGGUCCCCCUUUGGCUUGUUCGGAGGGGGGCUUACGUUUUCACACAAACUUUGUAUGCAGUGUAGAAUGUAUUUUUUGUUUUUGCGAUCACGCAACCAAUACAACUUUCAACAACGGAUCUCUUGGCUCUC